rnacentral:siRNA from 1 species
CCAUCAGUGUGACCCUCGUGAGU